GAGGGUGUAGCUCAGUGGUAGAGUACAUGCUUAGCAUGCACGAGGUUCUGGAUUCAAUCCAGUACCUCUG
rfam:Camelus ferus unplaced genomic scaffold scaffold1050, whole genome shotgun sequence.